rnacentral:rRNA from 1 species
UACGAAGGGGGCUAGCGUUGCUCGGAAUCACUGGGCGUAAAGCGCACGUAGGCGGAUUGCUAAGUCAGGGGUGAAAUCCUGGAGCUCAACUCCAGAACUGCCUUUGAUACUGGCGAUCUCGAGUUCGGGAGAGGUGAGUGGAACUGCGAGUGUAGAGGUGAAAUUCGUAGAUAUUCGCAAGAACACCAGUGGCGAAGGCGGCUCACUGGCCCGAUACUGACGCUGAGGAGCGAAAGCGUGGGGAGCGAACAGG